UACGUAGGGGGCUAGCGUUGUCCGGAAUCAUUGGGCGUAAAGAGCGUGUAGGCGGCCCGGUAAGUCCGCUGUAAAAGUCAAAGGCUCAACCUUUGAAUGUCAGCGGAUACUGCCGGGCUAGAGUCCGGAAGAGGCGAGUGGAACUCCUGGUGUAGCGGUGGAAUGCGCAGAUAUCAGGAAGAACACCAACGGCGAAGGCAGCUCGCUGGGACGGAACUGACGCUGAGACGCGAAAGCGUGGGGAGCGAACAGG
rnacentral:rRNA from 1 species